rnacentral:rRNA from 1 species
AAGCCAUGCAUGUCUAAGUAUAAGCACUCUUUUACUGUGAAACUGCGAAUGGCUCAUUAAAUCAGUUAUCGUUUAUUUGAUAGUACCCUACUACAUGGAUACCUGUGGUAAUUCUAGAGCUAAUACAUGCGCAAAACCCCGACUUCGGAAGGGGUGUAUUUAUUAGAUAAAAAACCAAUGCCCUUCGGGGCUCCUUGGUGAUUCAUAAUAACUUCACGAAUCGCAUGGCCUUGCGCCGGCGAUGGUUCAUUCAAAUUUCUGCCCUAUCAACUUUCGAUGGUAGGAUAGUGGCCUACCAUGGUGGCAACGGGUAACGGGGAAUUAGGGUUCGAUUCCGGAGAGGGAGCCUGAGAAACGGCUACCACAUCCAAGGAAGGCAGCAGGCGCGCAAAUUACCCAAUCCCGAUACGGGGAGGUAGUGACAAUAAAUACUGAUACAGGGCUCUUUUGGGUCUUGUAAUUGGAAUGAGAACAAUCUAAAUCCCUUAACGAGGAACAAUUGGAGGGCAAGUCUGGUGCCAGCAGCCGCGGUAAUUCCAGCUCCAAUAGCGUAUAUUAAAGUUGUUGCAGUUAAAAAGCUCGUAGUUGAACCUUGGGCCCGUCCUGCCGGUCCGCCUCACCGCGAGUACUGGUCCGGAUGGGCCUUUCUUUCUGGGGAAUCCCAUGGCCUUCACUGGCUGUGGCGGGGAACCAGGACUUUUACUGUGAAAAAAUUAGAGUGUUCAAAGCAGCCGUUGCUCGGAUACAUUAGCAUGGAAUAAUAGAAUAGGACGUGCGGUUCUAUUUUGUUGGUUUCUAGGACCGCCGUAAUGAUUAAUAGGGAUAGUCGGGGGCGUCAGUAUUCAGCUGUCAGAGGUGAAAUUCUGGAUUUGCUGAAGACUAACUACUGCGAAAGCAUUCGCCAAGGAUGUCUUCAUUAAUCAGGGACGAAAGUAGGGGAUCGAGACGAUCAGAUACCGUCGUAGUCUUAACAUAAACUAUGACGACUAGGGAUCGGG